UAUUUAUUUGUCCAGUACAUUCUGAUAUGAAAUAAGAUCAGCAGAUGAGUAUAGCAUUAUGCAUUCUCCUCCUUAUAAGUAA